rnacentral:rRNA from 1 species
UACGUAGGGGGCAAGCGUUGUCCGGAUUUAUUGGGCGUAAAGAGCGUGUAGGCGGCCAAGCAGGUCCGCUGUGAAAAACUCGAGGCUCAACCUCGAGAGGUCGGUGGAAACCGUUUGGCUAGAGUCCGGAAGAGGAGAGUGGAAUUCCCGGUGUAGCGGUGAAAUGACGCAGAUAUCAGGAGGAACACCAAUGGCGAAGGCAGCACUCUGGGGACGUGACUGGACGCUGAGACGCGAAAAGCCGUGGGGAGCAAACAGG